rnacentral:rRNA from 1 species
UACGGAGGGUGCAAGCGUUAUCCGGAUUUACUGGGUUUAAAGGGUGCGUAGGUGGCGCCGUAAGUCAGGUGUGAAAUUUCGGAGCUUAACUCCGAAACUGCAUUUAAUACUGCGGUGCUUGAGGACUGGAGAGGAGACUGGAAUUUACGGUGUAGCAGUGAAAUGCGUAGAGAUCGGAAGGAACACCGGUGGCGAAGGCGACUACCUGGCCUGAUACUGACACUGAGGCACGAAAGCGUGGGGAGCAAACAGG